AUUGAACGCUGGCGGCAUGCCUUACACAUGCAAGUCGAACGGUAACGCGGGGCAACCUGGCGACGAGUGGCGAACGGGUGAGUAAUGCAUCGGAACGUGCCCAGUAGUGGGGGAUAGCCCGGCGAAAGUCGGAUUAAUACCGCAUACGACCUAAGGGUGAAAGCGGGGGACCGAAAGGCCUCGCGCUAUUGGAGCGGCCGAUGUCAGAUUAGGUAGUUGGUGGGGUAAAGGCCUACCAAGCCGACGAUCUGUAGCUGGUCUGAGAGGACGACCAGCCACACUGGGACUGAGACACGGCCCAGACUCCUACGGGAGGCAGCAGUGGGGAAUUUUGGACAAUGGGCGCAAGCCUGAUCCAGCCAUGCCGCGUGCGGGAAGAAGGCCUUCGGGUUGUAAACCGCUUUUGUCAGGGAAGAAACGCUCUGGGCUAAUACCCUGGGGUAAUGACGGUACCUGAAGAAUAAGCACCGGCUAACUACGUGCCAGCCGCCGCUGUAAUAC
rnacentral:rRNA from 1 species